AUACGUAGGGUGCGAGCGUUGUCCGGAAUUACUGGGCGUAAAGAGCUCGUAGGUGGCUUGUCGCGUCGUCUGUGAACUUCCGGGGCUUAACUCCGGGCGUGCAGGCGAUACGGGCAUAACUGGAGUACUGUAGGGGAGACUGGAAUUCCUGGUGUAGCGGUGAAAGGCGCAGAUAUCAGGAGGAACACCGGUGGCGAAGGCGGGUCUCUGGGCAGUAACUGACGCUGAGGAGCGAAAGCAUGGGUAGCGAACAGGAUUAGAUACCCUGGUAGUCCAUGCCGUAAACGGUGGGCGCUAGGUGUAGGGGUCUUCCACGACUUCUGUGCCGUAGCUAACGCAUUAAGCGCCCCGCCUGGGGAGUACGGCCGCAAGGCUAAAACUCAAAUGAAUUGACGGGG
rnacentral:rRNA from 1 species